UCAAGCUAAAAAGGGCGCAAGGUGAAUGCCUUGGCACUGGGAGCCGAUGAAAGACGUGGUAAGCUGCGAAAAGCUUCGGGGAGGAGCAAACAUCCAUUGAUCCGGAGAUAUCUGAAUGGGGCAACCCAAUGGAGUUCAUACUCCAUUAUCCAAUACUGAAUCCAUAGGUAUUGGAAGGGAACCGCCUGAACUGAAACAUCUAAGUAGGGCGAGGAAGAGACAUCAAACGAGAUUCCGUAAGUAGUGGCGAGCGAACGCGGAAGAGGGCAAACCGAAGGUAGAAAUACCUUCGGGGUACGGACUGCUUUUAGGACUCAAUCUGUUAACCGAACGGCAUGGGAAGGCCGGUCAGAGAGUGUGAGAACCACGUAGGUGAAAACGGAAAGAGCUGCGCAGAUUCCAGAGUACGGCCAGACACGUGAAACCUGGUCGGAAGAUGGGGGGACCACCCUCCAACCCUAAAUACUACCCAGUGACCGAUAGCGUAUAGUACUGUGAAGGAAAGGUGAAAAGCACCCCGGGAGGGGAGUGAAAAAGAACCUGAAACCCUGUGCCUACAAGCACCUAGAGCGCGUCAAAGCGUGAUAGGGUACUUUUUGUAGAACGGUCCGGCGAGCGAUUGUAUGCAGCAAGGUUAAGGACUUAAGGUCUGGAGCCGAAGCGAAAGCGAGUUUGAAAAGGGCGUUAAGUUGCAUAUAAUGGGCCCGAAACCGGGUGACCUACCCAUGGUCAGGUUGAAGUGGAAGUAAAAUUCCAUGGAGGACCGAACCGACCUCCGUUGAAAAGGCGGCGGAUGAACUGUGGGUAGCGGAGAAAUUCCAAUCGAACCCGGAGAUAGCUGGUUCUCCCCGAAAUAGUUUUAGGACUAGCCUCAAGUUAGAUACCUGGAGGUAAAGCACUGAAUAGCCUAGCGGCCGAGAGGUUAGCGAAGCUUAUCAAACUCAGAAUGCCAGAGUAUUGAUGCUUGGGAGUCAGACAGUGUCAGAUAAAUGUCAUUGUCAAAAGGGAAACAGCCCAGAUCUACAGCUAAGGUCCCAAAGUCAGGUUAAGUGGAAAACGAUGUGAAGAUACGCAGACAACCAGGAUGUUGGCUCAGAAGCAGCCACUCAUUCAAAGAGUGCGUAAUAGCUCACUGGUCGAGCGUCUUUGCGCGGAGAAUUUAACGGGGCUAAACCUGACACCGAAGCUUAGGCAAUCCAGUAAUGGAUUGGGUAGGGGAGCGUUGUAUACGCGGAGAAACAGUAGCGUAAGCGGCUGUGGAGUGUAUAGAAGUGAGAAUGCCGGAAUGAGUAGCGCGAAUGCAGUGAGAAUCUGCAUGGCCGAAAGCCUCAGGUUUUUGGAGGAAGGUUCGUCCGCUCCAAGUUAGUCGGGAGCUAAGGUGAGGCCGGAAGGCGUAGCCGAUGCACAGACGGUAGAGAUUCCGUCACCACCAAAAGAGUUAAGCACAGGGACACAUUUGAAGUCUCAGAGCCGGGUGUUGGUUCCGGUAGAGAUCGAGGGAAAUUAGUACCGAAGUCUGAGAUGGAAGAUGGCGAGAAAAGCUGUGUGUAUUUCUGAGGUGCCCGUACCGCAAACCGACACAGGUAGGUAGGAAGAAGAUUCUAAGGCCAACGGGAGAAGGGUUGUUAAGGAACUCGGCAAAUUGACCCCGUAACUUCGGGAGAAGGGGUGCUCCAGAGAUGGAGCCGCAGAGAAUCGGCCCAAGCAACUGUUUACCAAAAACACAGGUUUGUGCUAAAUCGAAAGAUGACGUAUACGAGCUGACGCCUGCCCGGUGCUGGAAGGUUAAGAGGAGAUGUGCAAGCAUUGAAUCGAAGCCCCAGUGAACGGCGGCCGUAACUAUAACGGUCCUAAGGUAGCGAAAUUCCUUGUCAGGUAAG
rnacentral:rRNA from 1 species